CCUGCCUGCAGGUCAACUGGAAAGAAACCUGGAGUCACUCUUCCCUGCUUGGGAGCAUUGAGUCCCUCUUGGCUCCAGUCAAGGGGUGUCGGCAGUGGGGAGCACUAACAGAUGUCUGACACCAACUCAGGAAGUCCGAGUAUGAAGAAAUCAGAGCUCAGAAAGAUCCAGUUCAUUUGUCCAUUCAGCAGCUGUUGCCUACCUGCACACUUCCGUGAGCUUUCCCAGAAGAAUUGAGACCUGGGGAUAGCACCCAAGAAGAAGGAAGAUAUAGGUUGACAACUGAGACAUUUCCUGGAUUGUUCAUAUCAUGUCACAGCUGGACUGAGCCUUAGAAGAGUUUGCAUCAACACUAAAUAACCCCUCUAAACGUCUGAGGCUGAAUGGGG